UACAGAGGUCCCAAGCGUUGUUCGGAUUCACUGGGCGUAAAGGGUGCGUAGGCGGUUGGGUAAGUCUGAUGUGAAAUCUCACAGCUUAACUGUGAAACUGCAUUGGAUACUAUCCAACUCGAGGAAUGGAGGGGAGACUGGAAUACUUGGUGUAGCAGUGAAAUGCGUAGAUAUCAAGUGGAACACCAGUGGCGAAGGCGGCUUCUUGGGCCGUUCCUGACGCUGAGGCGCGAAAGCCAGGGGAGCGGAACGGG
rnacentral:rRNA from 1 species